ACGGGAGGCAGCAGUGGGGGAUAUUGCACAAUGGAGGAAACUCUGAUGCAGCAACGCCGCGUGAGGGAAGAAGGUCUUCGGAUUGUAAACCUUUGUUUUUGGUGAAGAUAAUGACGGUAGCCAAAGAGGAAGCCACGGCUAACUACGUGCCAGCAGCCGCGGUAAUACGUAGGUGGCAAGCGUUGUCCGGAAUUACUGGGUGUAAAGGGUGCGCAGGCGGGUCAGCAAGUUGGAUGUGAAAUACCGGAGCUUAACUCCGGAGCUGCAUCCAAAACUGUUGAUCUUGAGUGAAGUAGAGGUUGGCGGAAUUCCGAGUGUAGCGGUGAAAUGCGUAGAUAUUCGGAGGAACACCAGUGGCGAAGGCGGCCAACUGGGCUUUAACUGACGCUGAGGCACGAAAGCAUGGGGAGCAAACAGGAUUAGAUACCCUGGUA
rnacentral:rRNA from 3 species